rnacentral:rRNA from 1 species
AGAGUUUGAUCCUGGCUCAGGAUGAACGCUAGCUACAGGCUUAACACAUGCAAGUCGAGGGGCAUCAGGAAGAAAGCUUGCUUUCUUUGCUGGCGACCGGCGCACGGGUGAGUAACACGUAUCCAACCUGCCCUUUACUCGGGGAUAGCCUUUCGAAAGAAAGAUUAAUACCCGAUGGCAUAAUGAUUCCGCAUGGUUCCAUUAUUAAAGGAUUCCGGUAAAGGAUGGGGAUGCGUUCCACUAGGUUGUUGGUGAGGUAACGGCUCACCAAGCCUUCGAUGGAUAGGGGUUCUGAGAGGAAGGUCCCCCACAUUGGAACUGAGACACGGUCCAAACUCCUACGGGAGGCAGCAGUGAGGAAUAUUGGUCA